GACGAACGCUGGCGGCGUGCUUAACACAUGCAAGUCGAACGGAAAGGCCCUGCUUUUGUGGGGUGCUCGAGUGGCGAACGGGUGAGUAACACGUGAGUACCCUGCACCUGACUUUGGGAUAACUUCAGGAAACUGGGGCUAAUACCGGCUAGGAGCUCCUGCUGCAUGGUGGGGGCUGGAAAGUUUCGGCGGUUGGGGAUGGACUCGCGCCCUAUCAGCUUGUUGGGGGGGUAGUGUCUUACCAAGGCCUUGACGGGUAGCCGGCCUGAGAGGGUGACCGGCCACAUUGGGACUGAGAUACGGCACAGACUCCUACGGGAGGCAGCAGUGGGGUAUAUUGCACAAUGGGCGGAAGCCUGACGCAGCAACGCCGCGUGCGGGAUGACGGCCUUCGGGUUGUAUACCACUUUCGCCUGUGACGAAGCGUGAGUGACGGUAAUGGGUAAAGAAGCACCGGCUAACUACGUG
rnacentral:rRNA from 1 species